GGAGGUCCGGUGGUGGGACCGCCGGAAACAGGCAGGAGCUCAUCCCAAACCUACCCCUGGGCGUAACGAGAAUGCGAAGUCUUCAGAUUGAGAACAAUGAUAUUCAAAGAACUAUAUCCAAGACAUUGUACCUGAGAAGCCUCAUCUGUACCUAGAUCUGAUGUAGAUGAUGCAAUCUGGCACCUUGAGCUUGAGCAUGAGGCUAUAAUGGAAUGAGACCUUUGGUGGGCAUUGGAAGAGUGAUGGGACAUAGGGAGAAGACACUGUCUGUAAGCCAGGAAAUGGUGCUCAAGAGGAACUGAAUCUGUUGGAACCUGGUCUCGGACUUCCCAGCUUGCAGAACUGUGAGAAAUAAAUGUCUAUUGUUUAAGCCAGUGAGGCUAUGGUAUUUUGUUGUAGCAGCC